rnacentral:lncRNA from 1 species
GAAAAUCGCAUCAAAAAUUGCAAGUGUAAACGGGCCUUUACAAAUCCUUCAAUACUUAGGAUUUACCUGCUCGAGUGUAAACCAACCUUGUAUAAGACUGCCUACCAAUCCCCGUUGACUCGAUUGUCCAAUGGUCUAGAUACCCGAGUUCGAACGAAGUUCUGAUUGUAUUCUGCAGUGUCAGAAUAACAUGAAACUGAUUUUUCAUACAUCUGAGGAUGGUUCUGAAAAAUUCUCAGUCCAGUGUAUUUUUAUUAUACAGAUACUCUGUUGAUGUACAGAUUGACAAAAGUGUCGUGAACAAAGAUGUUUUGAAAGAUGCCGCAGCAAAACGUAAAGCAAGGACUGAGGUGAAAUCGAAAUUUGAAGAAAGGUAUUGUUGGAAAUUUACUUGAAGAAAUUAUAAAGUAUGAAAACGUGUAUUACGUCUAGUUCAAUGUGCCGAACCUAAGAUAAAUAUACACUACCUACACUCUUAUGCAUUACAUAGGUUUGGCCAGGGUUUGAGAUAUGCAGCAUGCUACAAUCUUGGACAUAACUGGUUGAGACCUUCCCCUCAAUACAAAAUUCCCGUACCCCUUAUGAUAAAUCUGACAUGCCUGUAGAAAAGGAAAAAAUUCGUCUUGGCGAAUAAAAAUUUCAAAUUGGAUAUUCAGUGCUGUAGCAGGAAAAGCCUGGGAUCUCUAGGCCAAGAGAUCUCGGGAAUCUGGCUGGCCACAGGAAAAUCUAAAGUUUCUUCGAACUGACUCAACUGAGGACUAUUUUAGUGAUUUUACAUCACAUAAUUUGUGACUUGUGAGGAUGAGAAUUCAGAAAGUAUCAUAUAAUACACAUUGGAAGGAACAUUUGUGAUUUGUGCAGAAGAAUUAAGUAUUAGAACUGAAGCAUUCAUAUUUCAUAAUUGAUAUUUGAUAAUUCAAUUUCAAUCAUCAAUUAAGUUUAACAGACAAGUGUGAACUGUUACAGUUCGGAUUUUCAACAGUAAUCAUCACUAUGUUGACUAUUCUACAGUAAUGUGGUGACUUUUUUCAGUUUGUGUCAUUUAAUCGUUGUAAUAAUCAUUCUUAAUUUCUUAUGUAAACUUUUGCUUGCAACUUGCAACUUGCAAGAUGAUUUUUCAGUUUGGUCACGAAAAAUUUCGUCUUGGCCCAGCACACCUAUAGGAAGCUUUUCUACAUGCAUGAAUAGAUUCCAUGUUGAAUCAUGUUGGGCCUUUUAAGCCCUCGCUCCCUCAACUCAAUGUUGAACUUGUGUCGUGGUAAAUUACCAAAAGUUGUUUCGGCGUUGUUCACAGCAUUGAACUGGAGGGAGAGGAUGGCAAAGUUUGUUUUGCCAACGUACACUAACUCAAUAUUGGCUGAAACGGUCUCAGCGUUAUCUCCAAGAUUGUAGUGUCCUGAUAAUACCAGUUCCAAAUUUUGGAUACCAGAUGUUGAAACUUUGGCAACUAUAAAUACUAAUAGACUGAUAUAGCAUGUUUCAUUUUGGGGCGGGUUUUAUCCACCGGACAGUGAUUUUUUCAAAAGUGCUUGAAAUAGAGUGGAUCGAUAUCGCAAAUACCGAUAUACCGCCAUCAGAAUGCCGGUAUACCGGUAUUUUUAACGUGUUUUUUUUUAAGCCAAACUGAACUGCUGACCGUCGAGAAAAAUCAAGUUUUGACAAAAUAUUAAUGUGGCACAUACUGUUAUUAGUGCAAAUGUCACAAGAUUCGCAUUAUCAAGCUAUGUUAACGGCGCUAAGCGGCAAUUAUUAGUAGGCCGCCGAUUGGGCGUCGAAGUGUUGAAUCUGUGAGUAUUAACUUUGCUUUCUAAACGUGAUUGUAAGCAAGUUUGACUUGAAAUAGCGUUUCAAUUCGGUAUUAGGCAGCAAAAUAGCGAAAUGUCAGUAUAUCGGUAUUUUUAAAUUGUCAAUAUCGCCAAACCGGUAUCUAAAUAAAUACCGGUAUACCGGAUAUAUCCGGUAUAUCGAUCCACUCUAGCUUGAAAACUUAUGAACCUCACAAUCACUAAAUCACAAUUUCGAGUUUUCCCAAUUUCCACAAGUGUUGAUAUAAUAUAGCACAAAGAAAGAAAAAAAGAAAUAAAUUUUCCGACGUUUCCGUGUUGACAUUGAGUUAUAUCAACACGGCUCUUAGCCAAUCAGCGUUCAGAAUUUACAAAUGCUAUAUUAUAAAUAGCAUUCCCAUCCAAUUUGUAUCAUGUUUACCAUGGCUCGCAUUGUGAAUCAGGUACAUAUCGACUGCUCAUGCUUUCUAUAGCUAAAGUAUAUACAUAAAACAAGCGUUUUAGUAUAAGUAAAUAUGUAUUUUCUCUGUAUGUGCUCAUCAUUGUAUUAUUUUUUUACAUCUAGAUACAAGACAGGAAAAAACAAGUGGUUUUUCCAGAAACUAAGGUUCUAGGAAGAUGGUUGUAAUGUUCAUAUAAAAUAAAUUGCCCACUGUUCAUUGUGU